AAUCGCAACGUUCUGAGCCAAGCAAUCGGAAGCCGCAGCGCGAACGUACGGAAAUCUGGCGCUUUCUGUAAGCACAGUUGGGAUGCAUAGGGGCAAGCAGGGGUUGUAGUGUUUUGGUAGAACAACCCGUCUCUCCCUUAUGACAAUGGGUGAAGUUUCUGGGAAGCAAGUGUACUACCACCAUGGCAGAUGGAUAGAAGCGUGAUGACACCGCUUAUAGCAGAGUAUGACAGAAACAUGGAAGAGAUGAAAGAACAGCUGCACUAUUAUCAGAUCCAAAUGGGAGAAAUGAAGCUAAAGUUAGAAAACAUCAUUAAUGAAAAUGAAAGGU